GCCAAUGUGGCUCAAUGGUAGAGCAUCGCUUUCCUAUCUAUCACUUGAUGGCGUAGGCGAAGGUUGCGGGUUCGAUCCCCGUCAUUGGUU